CUUCGCGUAGCUCACUACUCAGUUGGUAGAGCGACCGUGAUCGAAUCGGGAGGUCAUGGGUUCGAGUCCCGUCGCGGAUA